rnacentral:tRNA from 10 species
CGGGUGGCGGGUCUUGGCUUCAAAGCUGACGAUCUUUGGAUGU